AAUCUACCUUUCCGUCCGGGAUAACUAGCCGAAAGGUUAGCUAAUACCUGAUACGAUCACUCAAGCGGCAUCGUUUGGUGAUGAAAGCAGCAAUGCGCGGAUUGAGGAGCCUGCGGCCCAUUAGCUAGUUGGUGAGGGUAAUGGCCCACCAAGGCGACGAUGGGUAGCUGGUCUGAGAGGACGACCAGCCACACUGGGACUGAGACACGGCCCAG
rnacentral:rRNA from 1 species